UGGCGACGGGUGAGUAACGCGUGGGUAACCUGCCCCAUACCGGGGGAUACCACCUGGAAACAGGUGCUGAUACCGCAUAAGCGCACGGGAGCGCAUGCUCCUGUGUGAAAAACUCCGGUGGUAUGGGAUGGACCCGCGUCUGAUUAGCCAGUUGGCAGGGUAACGGCCUACCAAAGCGACGAUCAGUAGCCGGCCUGAGAGGGUGGACGGCCACAUUGGGACUGAGACACGGCCCAAACUCCUACGGAAGGCAGCAG
rnacentral:rRNA from 1 species